rnacentral:rRNA from 1 species
GAUGAACGCUGGCGGCGUGCUUAACACAUGCAAGUCGAACGGUGAAGCAGAGCUUGCUCUGUGGAUCAGUGGCGAACGGGUGAGUAACACGUGAGCAACCUGCCCCUGACUCUGGGAUAAGCGCUGGAAACGGCGUCUAAUACUGGAUAUGUGACGUGACCGCAUGGUCUGCGUCUGGAAAGAAUUUCGGUUGGGGAUGGGCUCGCGGCCUAUCAGCUUGUUGGUGAGGUAAUGGCUCACCAAGGCGUCGACGGGUAGCCGGCCUGAGAGGGGGACCGGCCACACUGGGACUGAGACACGGCCCAGACUCCUACGGGAGGCAGCAGUGGGGAAUAUUGCACAAUGGGCGAAAGCCUGAUGCAGCAACGCCGCGUGAGGGAUGACGGCCUUCGGGUUGUAAACCUCUUUUAGCAGGGAAGAAGCGAAAGUGACGGUACCUGCAGAAAAAGCGCCGGCUAACUACGUGCCAGCAGCCGCGGUAAAAC